AAAACACAUAGUGAACAACUGGUAUAAAUAGAAAUCUGUCCGAUAUAUGUUGAUAGUUUUCUAUUAGAACCGUCAAACCUGCCUGAUAAAAUGAAAGCUGUAUUUCUAGUCUGCUGCAUUUUGUUGCUGUCAGUGACAGCUGUUGUAAAUGCAGAAGUGUGUCAGCCUAUAUGUACAGCGGAUUGGAACCCAGUUUGUGGAGACGAUGGUGUGACACACGGAAACAACUGUUCCCGUAUCUGCAGUGGUGCUAGUUUUGUUAAAAAUGGCGAGUGUUGACAGUCUGUAGAUUCUGAUCAACUAAUGUAAAAAAAAGACUCAAGUUAAAGAUGUGAACUGUUCAUUACAGUUAACAGUAAAGAAAAUAUAAAAAAAUAAA
rnacentral:lncRNA from 1 species